UGAACCUGCGGAAGGAUCAUUC
rnacentral:rRNA from 5 species